rnacentral:rRNA from 1 species
UACGUAGGGUGCAAGCGUUGUCCGGAAUCACUGGGUGUAAAGGGUCCGCAGGCGGGCAAGCAAGUCGGUGGUGAAAUCUCGUAGCUCAACUACGAAACUGCCCUCGAUACUGCUUGUCUUGAGUUCGAGAGAGGAUGAUGGAAUUCAUGGUGUAGCGGUGAAAUGCGUAGAGAUCAUGAAGAACACCGGUAGCGAAGGCGGUCAUCUGGCUCGAUACUGACGCUCAGGGACGAAAGCGUGGGGAGCAAACAGG